UACGAAGGUCCCAAGCGUUAUCCGGAUUUAUUGGGUUUAAAGGGUGCGUAGGCGGCUUAUUAAGUCAGUGGUGAAAGCCCCAAGCUUAACUUGGAAACUGCCGUUGAUACUAUCUGUCUUGAAUAUUGUGGAGGUGAGCGGAAUAUGUCAUGUAGCGGUGAAAUGCUUAGAUAUGACAUAGAACACCAAUUGCGAAGGCAGCUCGCUACACAUAUAUUGACUCUGAGGCACGAAAGCGUGGGGAUCAAACAGG
rnacentral:rRNA from 1 species